GUGUUCUGGAGGAGCCAGGAUGCAUGGGAGCUAGUGCAACUCAAAGUGAGUCGAAGAUGGAUGGUGUCUUUGGCAGUGGCUUGAACGGACACGCCAACCUAUUGGAUUCUGGUCACAACUAUGGAAAGGAGCAGAGGUCCGGUACACCUGGAUAGAGAAGCAACUGGCUGCUAUGAACCAUGCCUUGCUGGCUAUGAAGCCCAUUACUGGAACAGCUCUGACAAAGCUCCAGCUGGGGACUCUGUGCACAUGCAGGGCAUGGAAGAUAAUCCCUGAACAGCACCCCAUCCUCUUCAACCAGAAGUCAGAAUGUUUGCUGCCAGAUAGC